AUCUCAAUCACAGCCACGAACACCUCCUCUCUCUUUCUUCUCUAUCGUCUCACACCAAGCACAUCUCACUGUUCACCACUGGCCGCCGAAGAAGAGCAAAAGACCGGCAACUUGGGCGGCACCAUGUGUAGCGUGCUCUUCGGCCAGCUGCUCGUCACGCUGGCGGAGUUCAACCUCGAGCAUGGAAGUGGCCCGAACAUCUACGGCAUCUCAGAGAUCGAAGGCUUCAACUCGUUAUGUGGUUUGUCGGCGUGAUGCGUGUGUGUUGUCUGGCAUUGUACGUGCGUGUGUUAUGUUGGCAUGUUGAUGCAUGCAUGACGGUUUAUUGUGUAUUGAUGUAUGCAUGUGGCUCGGCCGUCAUGAUGCGCGUACAUGCUUUGGAUUAGGAGCUCGCCGGCUGAUAUAUGCGUGUGUACUGAUGCGAUGAGCACCUAGACAACAAUAGGUAGACCGGUCCGUCAUCUUGAGCCCCGCCCUACCGCAAGCGCGACCAGCUUCAGC
rnacentral:rRNA from 1 species